ensembl:lncRNA
UGUUCUUUUCUUUUCAUUGUGUACUAUAAUUCAUUAAUUCACUCUUUCAUUGCUUUAGAAAAUAAACAUCUUUGCAGCUUAAUCCAACAAAGCUAAUGCGACUGGAGUCUCCCAUGAACCUGACGUGCACCUGUGUACACACAUAUACUGCUUAUAUCUGCAUGUACACAGGAGGGGAGGAAAGCCCUCUAAAGACCAAUCCCAAAUCUAGUGGGACACUGUCCUGCACCAUGUACAUCCAGGCCCGGUAUCUCAAAACAAAACACGAGGGUUAUGCAAGAGGAAUAGGUAGAAACAGGAAACUCUUCCGCCCUGAGCUUCUUGUCCCAUAUAGAGCACGUUCCUCCCUAGGAUCCCGCAUCCUCAUCUGCUAAGCGGGACCUCAUUUGCAUAAUCCUUGUGAACACAUACCUGCAAAGAUCCCUCGCAAUCAUCACAGCCUUAUGGGUAUCGACUUCUGCACACGUGCUUUCCGUAAGCCGGGCAUCACGGCAUAAUGGCACAAAGGUUACAUAAGCCUACGCUAUGGAGCCCACAGGCCGCCGCUGCACUGAGCUAAACCUCCGAA